rnacentral:lncRNA from 1 species
AUGAUGUGGGUGAGUGGUUCCGUGAAGAGCUCCCAGCCUGGGUGUGGGACGCAGCAGGCGCUCAAUCCGUGCCAGCUGCUGGUAUGGCGAUCCACCCUCCCUAGGCCCCACUGGCGCUCCAGGCCUGUGGUCCCAGCAUCUUCACGUCCUCGUCGGGGCGUCCGUGGCCUUUCUGCUGUGUCUGCUGCUCCUGAUCCUCCUCCUCCUCCUCCAUCGUCAGCGUCGGAGAAAGCGCAGGACCCCCGGGAGCAAGAGCAUGGAGCAGAGGCCGCAGGACAGGUGAGGGCCUGGUGGGCGUGGCCUGCCCCCAGCUCGGCCCCCAGCUGCCCUAAUGCCCCUGUUUCCCCCAGGCCCAGCCCAGGUGCUGAUGUCCCACAGAGAGCGCCAGGUAAGGGGCGAGGAGCCAGAGGCCUGGGGCAGGGGUGGGCGCCCAGGGGAGCCAGGGAGCAACGAGGGGAGGGAAGGUUUGGGAACCUCCUAGGAUGUUCCAGACGGCGACUUCAGGCAAAUUUGCCUGCCAAGGUCCACCCAAGUGCUGACCACUGGUCCUCUCACCUCCAGGCAUGGCCACAGCGGAUAGUCUUCCCGAGAAGGUCAGAGAGAUGGACACUUCCACCUCUGCUGCAGGAGACCCCCAGGAGGUGACGUAUGUUCAGCUGAACCACGGGGCACUCACCCAGGGGGCGGCCCGAGCCGUGUGCCCCCCGCCCUCGGAGCCCCCGACCGAGUGCGGCACGUACGCAGCCCUUGCCAGACGCUGACCCCGGGGACACCCGCACCUGCGCCCUGAGGUCACCGGCAGCCACCCUCGGGAGAGCUUGACGCCCUCGGGAAAGCCUGACGCCCCCGGCGCUUGGAGAGCUUUCCCAGUGGGACGGUCCCUGCCUGGAAAUCCAGUCCCCUCCCCGAGCUGGAGCUGGAACCUGGAGGCCCCUGGUGAACCUUGAAGACAGCAAUUAGCCAGGGACCCCUCCCCUAACUGAAGGGCUCCCCCCAGACCCUGGGGCGGCAGUUUCCACUGACCUGCCCUGCUGGGUUCACAGCCCGUGUGGCAGCCGCCGCGUGGGUCCAGUGUCCCCUGAGCCCCCGACUGCCCCGAGCCCCUCCCUAAGUGUCUGCCCCGCUGACCCUCGAGACCCUCCUGGGCUGUGCUUUCCUCCCACGAGUCUGUGCUGUCCUCGCCCAGCUGCCGCCGAGACGCAGGCCUGGUCGUGCCUGCCUCCGACCCAAUAAACGUGUCCCUCUGUCCAUGUCCCUCUGUCCACCUCCGGCCGGGGGGCG